ACGCUAUACUCAACUGUAAUGAAUGCAGUCUUUAAAAUGAAUUGUAAACUUGCAGAUUUUGAUAACGUACACAUAUACUGGUUUAAUGUUUAAUGUAAAGAAAACAAAUUUGGACAAUAUCUGCGUAGCACAGUUCGCGCAAUGUCAUGACGUCAUCAGCAGUGGACAUGGACAUUUCACGCGCUGCACAUGCACAUUGCGACUACCGAAGGUGGACCGAGUGGGGAUGUGAAGUGAUGUAUGUCACAGUGACCGUCACAGAGCCAUAUUCAAUCAGGACUGGAGAUCCAGUGCCCUUUUGGUCGCAAUAGGACAUUUAAGAAAAGCCAACAAACAAUGAGGUGUGUGCCGUUCUGUCAGGGAAAUUCUCUGGUCCUGUUUGUCCUGCACCUCUUAAUGGCCCAUUUUAAAGAAAAAACCUGAGUCCCUUCUAAUUGAAGCUGUUGUAGCAGCAACUGCAGCCGACAUGGAAAGAGGUGAAUUACCGGAUUCACCCACACUGAUAAUCCAAGGUGAAUUGAUGACCCCAAGCAAAUGGAUGAUGUCAGUUGAAAGGAAAGUUAUCCUGGGACCAUGUUCAGGGGCAUUUGUUGAGGGUCUGGCAGCAUUGUUUGUGACCCAUUACAACUUAAACCUGGCUUCUCAGUAUGAAGCUGCAUGCACGCUCAAAUUUAUUCAAAGAGGAAUUGUGGGCAUCAAUCCCGAAACUGGAUCUAAAGUUGCUGCUGUAAAGCGAGUAAAAAAAUGCAUGGAAUGAACCCACAUGCACACUGCUACUGAAACGAAUGGACUUUGAAUGGCUUGCCAUUUAAAAAGAAGAAUUCCAAUGAAAUUGAAAUAAGAGAUGCUGGCCAGAUUUUCCAGGUUAAUGUACAUGCAACAUCUUGCCUUUUUAUGAAUAAGCAAUUUAAAGGUAGGCACAAUUCAGACCAUUUCUCAUGUUUAAAGACAUAUUUUGCAAUUUGCAUUUUUCCUAAGGCUAAAGCCUUUUAUUUAUUGUGUAAUCUUCACUGUUGUGAAAGGAAGCAUUCUUGUAUUUUUAGGGCCUUUCAUUUAUUUCGCAAUCUCUUAUUUCGCUUAAUGUUCAUAUUUAUUGUACAAUAAAUGCAUUUUGCUACAUCUAUGAAAUCCUGUUAUUUUAAAAGUUUUAUUGUUCAUGUUACAUUAAAUUAA